rnacentral:rRNA from 1 species
UACAGAGGUGGCAAGCGUUGUUCGGAAUUACUGGGCGUAAAGGGCGCGUAGGCGGCCUACUAAGUCAGACGUGAAAUCCCCCGGCUUAACCUGGGAACUGCGUCUGAUACUGGAAGGCUUGAGGAUGGGAGAGGGAUGUAGAAUUCCAGGUGUAGAGGUGAAAUGCGCAGAUAUCAGGAGGAACACCAAUUGCGAAGGCAGCUCGCUGGGACGUUACUGACGCUGAGACGCGAAAGCGUGGGGAGCAAACAGG